rnacentral:lncRNA from 1 species
ACAGAGUUCACGCUCAUUGGCAGAGUCUUGAGACCCCGGCAGGGCGUGAUGCUGCAUAUAUACGCAGAGGACCAAAAUCAAGGUCUCAAUCAGGUGCAUAGCCCAAGAAGGAGAAGAGCCCCAGAGAGAGGCACAGGAUGAAACGCGCAUGCUCCUAAACCCCUCAUCUGCUCACACCUGACUGUCGAUGGGCCGUUCUUGUGCAGACCUAGUGUGCGUCUCUACAGACGUUGAGUUUGUGACUACAGUAGAUGUGUCUCGUGUGAGUUGCUGUCUGACUCAUGGAUCCUGUGCUGGAUGGGGUGAGGGACUGGAAUAAAAUCAGCACACAGCAGCUCUCUUGGGGGGUCAACCCACAUGUCUUACAUUGGCAAGGCUGGCAGAAGGACUACAUGCCCUUGAUGAGGCCACUUUGAGACACACACACAUCCCUGCUCCGUUAAAGGGGAUCCAUGACCUUGUCAAUUCUCUGUCUCAGAUCAAAUAUAGCCAAGAUUAAAAGGGCUUCCAUGUCAGGCUGUUUCUGGACUUGUGGUUGUGUGAAUGAAUAGAUGGUGACUCCUGAACACAUCUUUAUAGAGGAUUGUUUUCCCUCAAAUCCAUCAUUUGAUAGAGAAAACA